rnacentral:rRNA from 1 species
GAUGAACGCUGGCGGCGUGCCUAAUACAUGCAAGUCGAGCGAACGGACGAGAAGCUUGCUUCUCUGAUGUUAGCGGCGGACGGGUGAGUAACACGUGGAUAACCUACCUAUAAGACUGGGAUAACUUCGGGAAACCGUAGCUAAUACCGGAUAAUAUUUUGAACCGCAUGGUUCAAAAGUGAAAGACGGUCUUGCUGUCACUUAUAGAUGGAUCCGCGCUGCAUUAGCUAGUUGGUAAGGUAACGGCUUACCAAGGCAACGAUGCAUAGCCGACCUGAGAGGGUGAUCGGCCACACUGGAACUGAGACACGGUCCAGACUCCUACGGGAGGCAGCAGUAGGGAAUCUUCCGCAAUGGGCGAAAGCCGGACGGAGCAACGCCGCGUGAGUGAUGAAGGUCUUCGGAUCGUAAAACUCUGUUAUUAGGGAAGAACAUAUGUGUAAGUAACUGUGCACAUCUUGACGGUACCUAAUCAGAAAGCCACGGCUAACUACG